CUGUUGCAGGCAUCCUGGGAAAGAGGGCUGGACUGUGUGACUUUCUGAUCCCUGACCCUGAGAGCACCCGUGGUGUCUGCUGGGAGCUGUAGUUUGUCAGGGUAUCAGAGGAGUGUGGUGGUGGAUCACUCAUCAGGGAAGGAGAAGGAGAGGGGUGGGGUGACAUGGCUGACUGGGUGGAUAGGGGUUCGUCUUGUGAUGGAAUCGACAUGUUCCUAGAGGACAGAGCAUCUGGAGGUGAUGGUGUUGAUGGCGACAUGGUGGAUAACGGUUUUGGAGGUGACCUGUAGGACACAGGGCUUCCUGGUGACACGGUAGAGAGAGGGUUCCUGGGUGACCUGCUGGAUAAUUGUUUCCUAGGUGACUGAGAGUAUGGCAAGGUGGACGAUAAGGGUUCUGAUGGUGAUGGCGAUGACUGAGAUCUCAGGGAGAGAGGUGACAGAGGUGACAACCUGUCAGGCAGGUGUUUGGGAGGUGAGGGGGGGUGAAUAAACCUGGAGGCCUGGGGAGGUAACAGAGGUGACAACCUGUCAGGCAGGUGUUUGGGAGGUGAGGGGGGGUGAAUAAACCUGGAGGCCCGGGGAGGUAACAGAGGUGACUCCGGCUCUGUGGGGCUGGAAGGUGAGAGAGUGAAUGUGGACCUGAGGGAGUGCAGAGUGGGUGGAGCGGGAGACAGAGAGGAUGGGGGCCCUGCAGAUAAGAGGUCUGGGUUGGGUGGAGCAGGAGACAGAGAGGAUGGGGGCCCUGCAGAUAAGAGGUCUGGGUUGGGUGUAGAGGGAGAAGGGCUGGGGGAUGAGGGGUCUACAGAUAAGAGGUCUGGGUUGGGUGUAGAGGGAGAAGGGCUGGGGGUGAGGGGUCUACAGUUGACUGAUGGAGGUUGUACGAGCGGUCAGUUCGUGUGGACUUGGCUGGUGUCUUGGUUGACGACCCAGGGGUCUUUGGUCCUCUGGGCUGUGGUGACCCAGUGGUGAACCUUGGUGACCGUACACUAGUGUGGUCAGGUUGUGGUAUCUGAGUGGUGCCCACUUUAGAGACCAACGGAGGGCGAGAAGACCAGGUCACUGGAGACUCAGACAACAUGGCUCCCUGGGACAAUGCAUUGUGGGACAGGUUAGGACCUCCAAUUACAUUGACUUCCUCUUGCCUGUGAUAGAUAGAUAGAUAGAUAGAUAGAUAGAUAGAUAGAUAGAUAGAUAGAUAGAUAGAUAGAUAGAUAGAUA
rnacentral:lncRNA from 1 species